ensembl:lncRNA
CUUAAUUCCAUUUUUUCUCAAUAAGAUAGGUGUCAGUAAUCUAAGUGGAAAGGGAAUGGUGAACUACCAUAGGACCCAGCUAUCCCACUACUGGGUAUCUCUUCAAAGAGCUUGAAGUCAGCAAUUCCAAAAGUCCUGUGCACCCCAAUGUUUAUUGCAGCAUUAUUUACAAUAGCCAAGACAUGGAAACAACCUAAGUGCUUCCAUGGAUAAAGAAGUUGUGACAGUUUCUGAGGGAAGAACCAUCAACAGCUUUUACUUAUUGCUGGAAGAAAGCGGCAAUCAGUGGAUGAGAAAGGAAAGUCUGAGUGAGUUCUACUUUCUUUAAGUCUCCAAAUGGACACUUAAGGGGGAAAAUGCUGAUCCAGAGCAAUGGCUGACAGUGUUCCGGAUUAAGUGAGAGCCUAUUCAUCCUCUAACAUGUAAGACUGAUUGGGAAACAGCUCUAUAUUUGUUUUCUAGAAAGACUCCACAGUUUAUACUUGUGGCCAACUAAUGUUACAUUUUGUCAUUCUUACUAAUUUUUUAUAGCAAUACCUCUUGCUCUUGAUGUCUCAAUACUUUACCUAAAAAUGCUCAUAAUUUCUAAUGGUAGAUCCAGGGAUAUUGUUAUUAUUGUUGUUGUCAUUAUCAGUAUUUUAAAGUACCAUUUAUUGAAAAUCUAUUAUUUGCCAGGUACUGUAAUACAAUUUAUCUUAAAACUCCAUGGAGAAGAGAUUGUUAUCAAACUGAGGUUUAUGAAGGAUUAUGCCUCUUGCCCAAGGCCAUAUAUGGCCUUCAACCUUUGGAUUUAAAACAGUGGCAGGGUAGAGAUUAAAACCCAAGUCAAAGCCCACACUCUUUGCCACUAUCCUGUACUCAUCUCGGGCCCCUGCUAAUCCAAGGCUUGGUUUACAUGGACUCUGGAGCCAUUAGGACUUAAAAGUUUAUUAGACACACAAAGUGAGAACAUCUUUCUUUCUUUCUUUCUUUCUUUCUUUAUUUAUUUAUUUUUGCAGGGGAAGAUUUGCCCUAAGCUAGCGUCUGUUGCCAAUCUUCCUCAUUUUUUCUUCGUUUUUUCCUCCCAAAGUCCCCAGUACAUAGUUGUGUAUAGUUGUAAGUUCUUCUGGUUCUUCUAAGUGUGCCAGCACCAUAGCAUGGCUACUGACAAAUGAGUCGUCUGGUUCUGUGCCUGGGAACUGAACCCAGGCUGCUGAAGUGGAGCACGCUGAACUUGAACUGCUAGGACAUCAGGCUGGCUCUAGAGAGCAUCCUUAAAACUGGGGAAAACAGAACAGGUUUUUGAAAUGGAGAAUCCUUUAAUUGUAAUUCUUUCCUCCUUUAAUUCCAGUGGAGAAUUUAGAGCCCCAUUAUCUUCCUUUCAGCUUUAACUGUUACAGGCAAAUAGAUUCAUUAAGUAAUGAAGUCCGGUUCUCCACCCAAGCCCUGCUCCCUGCCUUGCCAGGAACGGGGCUGGUGGAGUACACAGGGGCGCCCGCAGGAUUUGAGCCUCAUUCUAACUUUUCCCUUUUGUGGUCAGCUCACAGUAACUACCAGGUUUUGAAGUCCUUACUGUAUUCCAGCUGCUAUGCUAUGAUCUUUAGGUAGGAUAUUUCAUUUCAUUCUCACAACAACCUUAUGUCUACACAAAAUAACCCAUAACCAGUCUAUAGGUUAGAGAGAUAAGCUGAGUUUUACUUGAGCCAAGUUGAGGAUUAUAACCUGGGAAGGCAGUUUCCACAAAGGAAGAAAAUGUUCCAGAGAAGCAUGGUUUUCAGUACAGUUUUAUAGCUUUUUAGAACAAAGAACAUACCUUAAACAUGCCCAGGAUACAUACUCAUCAAAGUUUCAAAGAGGUAUUCAGUUAAAAAUUAGCAGGUCAACCUGACCCUGAUGUCCAGGAAAGGGAAGUUAUCUUCAGAGUGCUGAUAUGGGUGUUACUAAUAGGGAAUUACUGACACUGGAUACUGGCUGAGACUGGCAUUGUAGGAGGGGGCGUAUGCAUUCUUGUAAGAGAAUGCAUUCUUUAACAGUUAAAGCAGAUGUACAAUGUGUGUUUGAUAGGCAGUAAGUCAAGCUUCCUUAGUUCAAGCCAAAUCAGUUUUGAACCAGAAUGGCUACCCCAUAUACACAAUAUGUGAAAAUCUCAUAUCACUUAUGAAGUAGGUGUUGAUAUGACUCACAUCAAUGAAGUCUGAGAACAGAAAUUGAGCAGCUCCAGAACUAGAGCCCUAGGUGGUCAGACUCUAAAACUAAUCUCCGCUCUACAUUGUAAAUUUUUCUUGAAUCAAUAAUGAUUUCUCUUGCUCCUAUUUGGUAAUCCAAUUUCAAGAUUUCAAGACUCCAUCUCAAGAUGUCUACAGAUAAAGCCCAUCAGAUGGAGACCACCAAGAACACCUGAAGCUGGGUACCUGAGGGUUACUGUAAACAUUCGAUUCUUUUGACCUUGUUCCCGACACAGAUGUAGGUGAAAGGAAAUUAAUCUUGUCAAUUUGCUGCUUUUUUUGUUUAACUUGAGUGGUGACUCAAGGGUAACAAGGAUUUAUAAGCUUAUUUUGCAGAAGAAAAAGAAUGCCUUCAUUGUUGUUACUUUUAAUUUUAUUAUUAUUAUUUUGGUGAGGAAGAUUGUCCCUGAGCUAACAUCUGUGCCAGUCUUCCUCUAUUUUGUAUAUGGGGCACCGCCACAGCAUGGCUUGAUGAGUGGCAUACAGGUCCGUGCUCAUGACCUGAACCCAUGAACCCGGGGCUGCUGAAGUGGAGCAUAUGAACCUAACUGCCACACCACCAGUGCAGCCCCAAGAAUGCCUUCAAUGAAGUUACAAUCACCAGAUAAACAGCCCCCAGCUGCCCUUGAUACCCAGAAGUCAAAUUGCCCAAGGGCUUAUCUGGAGCGAAAGGAACAUCGCGGAUUUCCCCUUUGUUUCUUUGAAACUCCUCCUGCCAACCCCCUUAGCUUAUGAAAUCCCCCACCUUCCUCUCUUGUGAAGGUGGUUUUGAGAGAACCUGUUUUCCUCCCCCUUGUUUUGGCCAAUUUGAAUAAAUCUUUCUCUGCCUCCAG